UUUCCGUAGGUGAACCUGCGGAAGGAUCAUUCAUAAUAAAGUGUUUUAUGGCACUUUUUAAAAAUCCAUAUCCACCUUGUGUGCGAUGUUAGAUCUCGUCAAUCUUGGCGAGAUUUUUAUACAUCAACUCAUUUUUUAACUAAUUUGUCUGAAAAAUAUUAUGAAUACUUAAUUCAAAAUACAACUUUCAACAACGGAUCUCUUGGCUCUC
rnacentral:misc_RNA from 1 species